AUGAUCUUCGCCGGGAACUGGACAAGGGGAGUGUGUCCUUGCUGGUUCUGCUGGACCUCUCAGCGGCCUUCGAUACCGUUGACCACGGUAUCCUUCUGGGACGACUCGCCGGGUUGGGCAUUGGAGGCACUGUUCUGCAGUGGCUCCGGUCCUUCCUGGAGGGACGAUCCCAGAUGGUGUCACUGGGGGACACCUGCUCGGCUCCACAGCCAUUGUCCUGUGGGGUCCCCGCAGGGGUCGAUAUUGUCCCCCAUGUUGUUUAACAUCUACAUGAAGCCGCUGGGAGAGAUCAUCCGGAGUUUCGGGGUAAGAUGUCAUCUGUACGCAGAUGAUGUCCAGCUCUGUCACUCCUUCCCACCUGUCACUAAGGAGGCUGUCCAGGUCCUGAACCGGUGUCUGGCCGCUGUGUCGGACUGGAUGAGGGCCAAUAAAUUGAAACUGAAUCCAGACAAGACGGAGGUCCUCCUGGUUAGUCGCAAGGCUGAACAGGGAAUAGGGUUCCAGCCUGUGUUGGACGGGGUCGCACUCCCCCUAAAGACGCAGGUUCACAGUCUGGGGGUCCUCCUGGACUCAUCGCUGAGCCUGGAGCCUCAGGUUUCAGCGGUGGCCGGGAGAGCCUUCGCACAACUCCGCCUCGUGCGCCAGCUGCGCCCGUUCCUUGGGAGGUCUGACUUGGCCACGGUGGUCCACGCUCUGGUCACAUCCCGGCUGGAUUACUGCAACGCACGCUACGUGGGGCUGCCUUUGAAGAUGGCCCGGAAGCUCCAGCUGGUGCAGCGGGCGGCAGCCAGGUUAAUAACGGGAGCGGCUUACAGGGAGCGUACAACCCCCCUGCUAAGCCAGCUCCACUGGCUGCCGAUAUGCUACCGAGCCCAAUUCAAAGUGCUGGUUUUGACCUACAAAGCCCUAAACGGUUCUGGUCCUGCCUAUCUAUCCGAACGUAUCUCCUCCUAUGAGCCCGUUAGAACCUUAAGACCUUCCGGGGAGGCCCUGCUCUCGAUCCCACCUGCCUCGCAGGCGCGGCUGGUGGGGACGAGGGACAGGGCCUUCUCGGUGGUGGCUCCUUGGCUGUGGAACUCCCUCCCCAGCGAUAUCCGGCAAACCCCAUACCUCCUGGGAUUUAGAAGAAAACUAAAAACUUGGCUCUGCGCCCAGGCAUUCAGCGAAUAA
rnacentral:lncRNA from 1 species